rnacentral:rRNA from 1 species
GAUGAACGCUGGCGGCGUGCCUAACACAUGCAAGUCGAACGGGACUAUCAAGUGAUGUUUCGGACUGAACUUUUAGUUAGUGGCGGACGGGUGAGUAACGCGUGGACAACCUGCCUCUCACUGGGGGAUAGCAGCUGGAAACGGCUGGUAAUACCGCAUGCGUUCAAUGUGCCGCAUGACACAUUGAAGAAAGAUUUAUUGCUGAAAGAUGGUCUCGCGUCUGAUUAGCUAGAUGGCGGGUAACGGCCCACCAUGGCGACGAUCAGUAGCCGGUCUGAGAGGAUGAACGGCCACAUUGGGACUGAGAUACGGCCCAG